AUUGAACGCUGGCGGCAGGCCUAACACAUGCAAGUCGAACGGUAACAGGAAGAAGCUUGCUUCUUUGCUGACGAGUGGCGGACGGGUGAGUAAUGUCUGGGAAACUGCCUGAUGGAGGGGGAUAACUACUGGAAACGGUAGCUAAUACCGCAUAACGUCGCAAGACCAAAGAGGGGGACCUUCGGGCCUCUUGCCAUCGGAUGUGCCCAGAUGGGAUUAGCUAGUAGGUGGGGUAACGGCUCACCUAGGCGACGUUCCGUAGCUGGGCUGAGAGGAUGACCCGCCACACUGGAACUGAGACACGGUCCAGACUCCUACGGGAGGCAGCAGUGGGGAAUAUUGCACAAUGGGCGCAAGCCUGAUGCAGCCAUGCCGCGUGUAUGAAGAAGGCCUUCGGGUUGUAAAGUACUUUCAGCGGGGAGGAAGGGAGUAAAGUUAAUACCUUUACUCAUUGACGUUACCCGCAGAAGAAGCACCGGCUAACUCCGUG
rnacentral:rRNA from 1 species